CAGGGGGCUCGAGCGUUAGUCGGAAUCACUGGGCUUAAAGGGUGCGUAGGCGGCUCAUCAAGUGCUUUGUGAAAGCCCACAGCUCAACUGUGGAACUGCAGGGCAAACUGAUGAGCUUGAGGCAGGUAGGGGCCGGAAGAACAGUUGGUGGAGCGGUGAAAUGCGUAGAUAUCAACUGGAAUGCCGAUGGGGAAGCCGUCCGGCUGGGCCUGUCCUGACGCUGAGGCACGAAAGCGUGGGGAGCAAACAGGAUUAGAUACCCUGAUAGUCCACGCCGUAAACGAUGUGCACUAGACUGGUGCGGUUUUGACGCCGUAUCAGUCGCAGUAAAAACGAUAAGUGCACCGCCUGGGGAGUACGGUCGCAAGGCUA
rnacentral:rRNA from 1 species